rnacentral:rRNA from 1 species
AGAGUUUGAUCCUGGCUCAGGAUGAACGCUAGCGGCAGGCUUAACACAUGCAAGUCGAGGGGCAGCGGGAGUAGCAAUACUUGCCGGCGACCGGCGCAAGGGUGCGUAACGCGUGAGCAACAUGCCCGUAUCAGGGGGAUAAUCCAGGGAAACUUGGUCUAAUACCGCAUAAUAAUCAUUUGGGGCAUCUUGGAUGAUUUAAAAUUUCGAUGAAUACGGAUUGGCUCGCGUGACAUUAGCUGGAUGGAGAGGUAACGGCUCACCAUGGCUACGAUGUCUAGGGGUUCUGAGAGGAAGGUCCCCCACACUGGAACUGAGACACGGUCCAGACUCCUACGGGAGGCAGCAGUGAGGAAUAUUGGACAAUGGAUGGAAAUCUGAUCCAGCCAUGCCGCGUGCAGGAAGACGGCCCUAUGGGUUGUAAACUGCUUUUGUAUGGGAGCAAUAAGGGCUACGUGUAGUCCGAUGAGAGUACCAUACGAAUAAGGACCGGCUAACUCCGUGCCAGCAGCCGCGGUAAUACGGAGGGUCCGAGCGUUAUCCGGAUUUAUUGGGUUUAAAGGGUGCGUAGGCGGUUUUAUAAGUCAGCGGUGAAAUUUUCCGGCUCAACCGGGAUACUGCCGUUGAUACUGUAAGGCUAGGAUAUGGUUGCUGUGGGUGGAAUGUGUGGUGUAGCGGUGAAAUGCUUAGAGAUCACACAGAAUAUCGAUUGCGAAGGCAGCUCACAAAGCCAUUAUUGACGCUGAGGCACGAAAGUGUGGGGAUCAAACAGGAUUAGAUACCCUGGUAGU